AACCUUAUUGAAGAAGAAACAAACGGGAGUUGUCUUGGGGGUGUGGUUUGAUCAAUGUGUUUGAUGUGGGUGUUAUGUUCACUAUUAGGUGAUUGGCAGUAGGAAGCUGUCUGCUUAAGUUUUCGAGAUGAUCGAUCUCUGUGGAGGGAGGAGCUGGUUUUUACAUAUUGUGUAUAUUUAUUUAUUCUGAAAAUAUUUCAGUUUGUUGGCAAUGUCAAUUCUUGCAAAUGUUAUGUUCGCUAGAUGGACAGGCAAAUGCCGCCGACUACUAAAAUGUAAACCUAUCAAAACGUGUGUACUAUCCAUGGUACUAUCUCUGCUGAUCACGUUAUCCGUAUCUAAGGUAGUAGACUGGUGAUCUCCGUUCAUCAAACUGCUAUCAGCUUUCCUGUGUCCUGCUCCCAGAUAUCAUCCAAGUGCUAUUCACCAAGCAUGGGCUGACUCGUUCACCUGUGAGAACCAUCCGACUGCAGUUUGAACUAACCCUGCUGUCACUAUUUAGACAUUGGGACCACAUAUUGUCUUAGUCUAGUGCAUUUUAGAAUUGAAGAACACCCAUUGCAGAUACAUGUGCUUGGUUGAGCAUAUUUAUUCAUUGUCUCUCACUUUUGUCUCCUAUGAUCUAUUCACCAAGUCCUGCAGUUUGAACUAGCCCUGUCGUCAUGAUUUAGACAUUGCAUUUGCCUGUUUUCUUUUCUUUGUGGGUUGUUUUACAGUGUUAGGGUGGCAGGUAGCGGUUAAGAGCAUUGGGCCAGUAAUCGAAAGGUUGCUGGUUUGAAUCCCUGAGCUGACUAGGUGAUAAAUCUGUAAUGUAAAUGUCUCUCUACAUUGCUGACCAGGGUGGGAUACUUUUGAUAUGCCUAUGGGGUCUGCGCACACAAAUGCUCCUGGAGAGAAGGAGGAAUACUGAAGCAUGCAUUGAUAUGUCUCCUUCAGAGGCUCAGGCUUUUGGCAUAGAUGGUAACGCUCUCAUUACUGGACUGUAAGAUUGUGCCCACUUGAAAAAUAUUGAUUGGUACUGUAGGUUAUACUAUAUUUAGAUACUUGAAAUACCUUUGCUAUUGUCUCCUUACUCAAUAAAUGGUGAAACACUA